GGCUACACACGUGCUGCAAUGGGUAGAACAGAGAGUCGCAAAGCUGUGAAGUGGAGCUAAUCUCAGAAAACUAUUCUUAGUUCGGAUUGUACUCUGCAACUCGAGUACAUGAAGUUGGAAUCGCUAGUAAUCGCGAAUCAGCAAUGUCGCGGUGAAUACGUUCUCGGGUCUUGUACACACCGCCCGUCACACCACGAGAGUUGGUUGCACCUGAAGUAGCAGGCCUAACCGUAAGGAGGGAUGCUCCGAGGGUGUGAUUAGCGAUUGGGGUGAAGUCGUAACAAGGUAUCCGUACGGGAACGU
rnacentral:rRNA from 1 species